UCUUUCCAGAGACCCCUGGUUAGAUGAAACCAGGAUGAUUUGGGGUUUGGGAGUGGUGCAGGUUUUCUCUAUGUGGACCAGGCUGGCCUUGAAAUCACAGAGAUCUGCCUGCUUUGACUGAGAUUAUGGUAUGUCCUAUCACACAGAUUCCUCAAUACAGAAGAGAACCUCUGGAUGAGUUGGUGUGAAGUGAAUUAGAGUUUAUAAUGAAGAGAUUUUGUUUACACACAGACUUAAGUUCGGGGAUCAGUAGGAAGGCACUCAGGAAAAAGACGGCAGGCAGCCAUGUGUGGGUGUGGGCUUCUCAAGAACUGUAGUUAAUUGGCUCACACAAUUGCAUGUUGAUUUUAGAGGCUUUUGGAAUUCCAUUGCUCCAAGUGUAACACACACAUCCGUCCUUUUGGUAAAUAUGAUUACAGAGGGGUUCAUGAGAUGUCUUGGAUAGGACUGCAAUCUGCUGCACUGGAACCUGAGAUCUGCCAACAUCUGCCUUUCGAAGUUGACCUGCUGUACCAUCAGUCUCUGCACCUUCUGGCUCUGGCUACAGAAUGCCA
rnacentral:lncRNA from 1 species